AUUAUUAUCGUUAGGUUGGAAUCUAUAUUUGACUCGAAAGAACUGAACUUAACUUCAACAAUUUAGUUUGAGUUUGAAGGGCGUUGGCUCCAAUUCACCCCUAGCUGUUUGGGAAGACAGAUAACCAGAUAUAUGAAAUCAAGAUCAAAAGGAGAAAAAUCAUGAUAUUUUUAGUUUUAAUCGUUAUAACAUUUUCUCCGCGUUUUGAUUAUUUAUUUUAAGCGAACAGAUCAAAACGGCGCGUUCCGAAGAACCAAACACAGAAACUUGAAUUAGCACAGUAAAAGCUGAGCUCCAACGGAGUUUGGGCCUCGAAAUUUCGCAGCCGAAGAUGAAUCUCACGUGCUACAUCGCUUACAUGUCGACGAUCAUCCUCUCUUCUCUCCGUCUCCUCUUCCAGACCACCACCAGGUUGAACAUGUUGUGGACAGUGAAAGUAGUGAUUUCUUUGAUCUACUAAGAGUGCCGGAUGUUAAUGCCGUGAUUCCUGUUGAGGAUAUAGAAGAUGAGAAAAGGCUGUAAAUUAUCUUAUGAAACCUUUGGGAUUUAUGGAAGAGAAUUUCGAAGAGAGCAUUAUUUGUUUUGAUGCCAAAGAAACUUGCAAUAACUGGUUUCAUAAAGAUGUUACCAUCUGAGAGCUUCUUCCAUGCAUGACACUAAAAUACAUCUGUUAAUGACAUCAAAAGCUAUUGAAGCAGAAUUCAUCAACAUAGGAGACAACCACUUGGGAAAUCUACAGAUAGCAAAUGGCUGCUUGUCAGUGUUAUGGAACCGGCUGUUGAGUAUAUUAUGAAGUGCAUCUUUAAGGAUGCAUCUCAGAACGGUAAAGCAAGGACCAGGACCAAGCCAGUCUAGUUAGUAAAGCUGAUUCUAGGAGACCGCCUUCUCGUUUAAAUAAGACUUGUAUUGUAUUUGCCUCUGAUUUUCCAUGGAGUUUGGUACCUUGCCUAUUGUAGCUUCCUUGUGCAUUGAUUCUCGCAAGUCUAGUUUAGUCAUUUAGCUAGUUACUAUAUAACUAAUUAGUGAGAAUAUAUUAUAUUAAUACAAGUAAAAAUACACAUAUCUACAAUAAUACAAUCCACACUUCUACAAAAUUAAAAUUUUAA